GCCUAUGUGGCAUAGUGGUUUGUGUUUUGGACUAUGACUCUGGAAACCUGGGUUCAAUUCUCGGCUCAGCCA